rnacentral:rRNA from 1 species
UACAGAGGGUGCGAGCGUUGUCCGGAAUCACUGGGCGUAAAGGGCGCGUAGGCGGUGGCGUAAGCGUGCGGUGAAAGCUCGGGGCUCAACCCCGAGUCGGCCGUGCGAACUGGGCCACUGGAGCAGAUCAGAGGCAGGCGGAAUUCCGGGUGUAGCGGUGGAAUGCGUAGAGAUCCGGAAGAACACCGGUGGCGAAGGCGGCCUGCUGGGAUCUUGCUGACGCUGAGGCGCGACAGCGUGGGGAGCAAACAGG